UAGCCAUGAUGAGGGCAUUGAAUGAGUAGCAUUUUGAACCUCUCCCAUGCCUCAUGGAACGGUUCACCAUCAGCUUGCGAAAAAUGUCGCAAUUUUUCUUCUUAGCUC